rnacentral:rRNA from 1 species
UACGGGGGGGGUAAGGCGUUGUUCGGAAUUACUGGGCGUAAAGGGCUCGUAGGCGGCCAACUAAGUCAUACGUGAAAUCCCUCAGCUUAACUGGGGAACUGCGUGUGAUACUGGAUGGCUUGGAUUUGGGAGAGGGAUGCGGAAUUCCAGGUGUAGCGGUGAAAUGCGUAGAUAUCUGGAGGAACACCGGUGGCGAAGGCGGCAUCCUGGACCAAUAUUGACGCUGAGGAGCGAAAGCCAGGGGAGCAAACGGGG